AAGCUCUCUUCGGCAGCACAUAUACUAACAUUGGAACGAUACAGAGAAGUUAGCCUGGCCCUGUGCAAGGGUGACAUACAAAUUUGUGAAGCAUUCUGUAUUUUU
ensembl:snRNA U6 U6 spliceosomal RNA